rnacentral:rRNA from 1 species
UACGUAGGGAGCAAGCGUUGUCCGGAAUCAUUGGGCGUGAAGCGCGCGUAGGUGGCUUCGUAAGUCCGUUGUGAAAGUCAAAGGCUCAACCUUUGAAAGCCGAUGGAUACUGCGGAGCUAGAGUACGGAGAGGCGAGUGGAAUUCCUGGUGUAGCGGUGAAAUGCGCAGAUAUCGGGAAGACACCCGUGGCGAAGGCGGCUACUC